GACGAACGCUGGCGGCGUGCCUAAUACAUGCAAGUUGAGCGAUGAAGAUUGGUGCUUGCACCAAUUUGCAGAGCAGCGAACGGGUGAGUAACGCGUGGGGAAUCUGCCUUUGAGCGGGGGACAACAUUUGGAAACGAAUGCUAAUACCGCAUAACAACUUUAAACAUAAGUUUUAAGUUUGAAAGAUGCAAUUGCAUCACUCAAAGAUGAUCCCGCGUUGUAUUAGCUAGUUGGUGAGGUAAAGGCUCACCAAGGCGAUGAUACAUAGCCGACCUGAGAGGGUGAUCGGCCACAUUGGGACUGAGACACGGCCCAAACUCCUACGGGAGGCAGCAGUAGGGAAUCUUCGGAAAUGGACGAAAGUCUGACCGAGCAACGCCGCGUGAGUGAAGAAGGGUGUCGGAUCGUAAAACUCUGUUGGUAGAGAAGAACGUUGGUGAGAGUGGAAAGCUCAUCAAGUGACGGUAACUACCCAGAAAGGGACGGCUAACUACGUG
rnacentral:rRNA from 1 species